rnacentral:tRNA from 1 species
AUUUAUAUAAUAUAAUAAGUAUAAUUGACUUCCAAUCAAAAAGUCUAAAUGUUUAGUAUAAAUA